GGGAGGCGCGGCUGCCCCGGCGGUACGGUGGUGCGGAACUGGGCUGAGGGAGCGGCCGGCAGAAGUUGGUGACAAAGGUGCCGUGCCCGUGCUCGCAGCCGGCGGGUUUCUUUGUGCGCUUAGCAGCGCGUCCCGACGCCGUCCUCGCUGAGCGCGAUCGGCGGGCUGUUCUGUCCUGUGUGCGUCGCUUAGAGAAUUUAUUCUAUUGAAGAGGAAAAGCCUUCCUAAUUUUGGCAGAGCUUUUCCGAACGUGGUGUUGAAAUGGCAAGCGAAAAACAAUUUCUUUUUUGGUAAUUGGUGAGUUUCUUAACAUUCCGGUCGGUGCAGCACAGAUACGUGCUCUAAAGAGCCCCUGUUCUUUCGUCUUCGCUGUGACCUCACCUGUCAUCACCGCUUCCUCCACCCAUGCGUAUGUGUAUCUUUAAGGCUCAGUAACAAAAAUGGUUUUUAUUAAAAGCCUUCCAAAACAAAGGUUAAAGAGGACAGAGGAAGAUGUAAAAGCACAGCAGGCAGUGCAUUCCUCCCUCGGUGAGAUGAUCCAGAUAUUUGGGACCAGCCCCUCGCACAGUGAAUUGAGCACCGUGACCCCAUGGUUCCCCCACUGGGUCCCUGCCAGGGCACCCUCAGACCGUGUGAGCAUUCCAGGGGCACAGCAGCACAGUCUUGCAUUGCAGGAAAGAUCCAAUUAAAACCAGGCUAACCCCAAAUAAAGCCUUAUUCUGUACUAUAGUAAUUAUCUGCGAUGACUGUAAAUUCUUUGUUUCCUGUGCACAGAAACCUGCUUUUAACCAGAAGCUGUCUUUGGGCUUUAGAACUAAAAGAACUAUUUUCUCGGUGUUUUUUUGUUUGUUUGUUUUUUGUUGUUGUUGUUUGUUUUGUUGUGUUUUUUUUUUUCUUUCACUCUAGGACAUGCAGACCUUUAGGAAAUGGAAUGCAUUCUGCUUUGUCAUCCUGCUGCUGGCUUCACUGUUUUGAGUGGCUUUGCGCUAUUUCUGCUGCUGCUUCCUGUCCUUGACCCAACGAUACAUUGUGAACUUCUCCCCAGUCGAUGGAUUCCUGGUAAAAUGCAGCAAAGGAUUUAAGGUUAUCAUCUGUCUCUCCCUAACUUCUGACAUCUCUUUAUAACAAGAAAGAGUCACAGCCAACUGUAACAGGAGGGCAACACAAUGAAUCCUGGUGCCAAAGAAGCUGUGGAUCCCUCCGUUACGCUCAGUUAUGCCUGGUUUAUUACUGGUGAAGGUAACGGGGUGCAGUAGCAGACAUCGGUGAAGGAAAAGCAGCUACAAUGCAAUGUUUGCAAAGCAAGGUAAUGAUUAACCACUAUGUUCGUUGUCUCAGCUCUUUCACCAUUUCAGUGGUAUUUUCUCUUGAUUUCUAUACUCCAUCAUUUUAUGUUUCUCAUUUUUUUUCAUCUACUUAUCUUCUUCUCCUUUCCUGGUGCUGCCUACCCACCAUGUUACUUAAAGUGCUUUCAUCACCAGAACUUGUUGUCAGAUCCCAGCUUGCUCCCCAGGGACUAGGGGAGGACCUCAAGCAUGGGAGAAGUAUGGACUGUUACAGUGUAAAUAAACGCAGAAAAAUGGUUUAAGAGGACAGAGUCAAGAAAAUGGCUAGCAAGUAGCUUGUGUUUCAGACUAGAUUUUUUUGUGCUAGUCAUGCAUUCCUCAAGAUGUAUCUGAAGUCUGGAGCAGAUCUGUCUGGCAAACCUACUGAUGUCUACACUGUCAAAAUACAAAAGACAACAUUUCAUUUCUCCAAAUUUCCCUUCACUUCUUUGCCUUAUUUUCUUUCUUUUCCUCCUACGCUGGGAUGACAUUUUUGAAGCAUACUUUAAAGUACAUAAUUUGAUCAAAUAAUCCAAGGGAACUCCCCAUAGACAUCCAUGAUUUAACACUAGAUCUAUUCUAAAGAAUGGCACGUCUGACAAUGGAAAUUGGUUUAACCCCAGUUAAUUUCUACAUAAAAAAAUGUAAUGUGUUUUUCCUAAGUUGGAAAUGGCUGUCAGAAAUACGCUAAAUAAGACCAAGAUGCAAUCAGGUGUGGUGCUGAUUACGCUGAGCAUCCCGGUCUGAGCAGGAGCAGAAGGGCUCAGCACUUCCUGAGGCAGCCCUCAUGCAUGUCCUCCUGUGCACAUUUGUAGGUGACUUGUAGGCGACUAUAAGGAGAGUGGGCAGGCAUUCACUGGUCAGCUGAUUUAUGGCUUGGAAUAGCUGAUACUUUGUGCUCUGAAAACAAAAAAGGGCAGCAGUUGAAUCUGAAUUUUUGUCCUCUAUUUCUCUUCUCCAUUUGGGUUUUCACUUUCCAGCUCUCAGCACAUGCACUGGGCACCAAGGCAGCUUUUUUCAUUGGCUUAAUAUUUUUCUCCUUGUCCUGACUCACAUCCCUGCAGGCUUUGAGCUCCCCUGCUCUGUACCCGUUUGUCACUCCUUUCAAAAGGAAGAUGGAAACUCUUGGUAUGGAUGCAAAACUCAGAGGUCUGUGCCAAAUAAGAGCAAGAACACAGCUGCAGAAGACUCAGCGCACUUCUCACAGACAAAAUGCAAUGAAGGAAAAGAAGGCACUUUAAGCUAAAUCAGAGAUCAUUGUAGAAUAUUUUUCCCAUUCAGCUUGCUCUAGAAGGAAUAUGUACAUGCGGCGGCAGCACUUGGAGUAUGAAGAGCUUCUUUGAAAGCAGAAGUAGUUGCCAGUGUUUGAGCUGUGGAUGGUGAGAAAAUCAGCUGUUCCUGCAGAGGUGCCCCCAGCAACAGCAGCUUCUGAGAAAUCCUGCUUUUGUGUCCUCAGUGAGAACACAGCCUGGAAUGACUGAGAGCAAGUUCUGUUUGCAGGAAGCAUUUCAGACCAACAUCCAUUGCCUGAGGAGGUUUCCAGAGGCCAAGCAGAGGCAAUCAGCUGUGUAAACAUUUCAAGGUACAGCAAGGAGCCAUAAAUGGAGCCUGUGCAGAUCCUUGCUGUACUGGUCUGUGAAGGCAUGCUGUUAUCUUUCAAACAGUGGUGCACAGUGGUGUUAGGUAGUGGUCAGGUCCUUCACCCUUGGUGUCUUACUGUGCUUGUUUUGCCUUCUAACUCCUCCUCUUAACACCUCGAGUCUAUUUCAGAUACUAUACUCAAUGCCUUCCUGUUGGCAAAGGGGAACAUACUGUAUAUAUGGACCUAUUAAUUUAUUGUUAGUCUAAGGUUUUCAACAGUCCAAUAGUAAAAAUUACCAAAUUCAUACAGGAAGAUGUCAUGAAAUAGAGUUGAAACUGUUAGACAAAAUUUCCCUGUUCUCUUGUGUUGUGCUUACUCCUCCAGUGUGCCUUUGGGUCUUAAGAUUGACAUUUUAGUAUUUCUCAAAAGGAAUGGGGGAGUAUGGUAAGUCAUCACCAGGACUAGCAUGAUAUUCAGGGGUUGGGGGGAUGGCUUUUUUCCUCAGUCUGGUGUAUUCUUGAAUUUUAUUUUAUAUGUUUUCUAACACUAGAAGCUCACCGUGACUGAAUGACUAUGAUCUGCAUCCUCUGUGUUUGCACUCUUGUUUCCAUGACUUACUGUAGAGCCGUAGGCAAUUUAAUCCACAAGGAAAAACCACUUGUUUGUAUUAUAAACUAAAGUUAAAUUAAAACAAAUCGAAUUGCGUGUACCUCACAGCUACAUGCAGCCAAAAGAAUUUAAAAUCUACUUAGGCCAAGACAGAAUUGCCGAGGCCCUGUACCAUCAUGUCAUCAUAAAACAGGGUUGGCCCUGCUUUCCCACCAGGUACUCAAUCUUUGGCUCAAGCCCUCACUUAGCAUUUCUGCUACAGAGGAUCAUAGAAUCGUAGAUUGGCCUGGGUUGAAAAGGACCA